UGUUCAGGGAAAAGCACUAGUUAAUCCAUGGAUUCAUCUCAUAACCUACAUACUUAGACUGAUUAUGAAACCCCACCAGUAGUGAGCAGCAUACAUACAGAUGUACUGAAAGUUGGUUUUACUUUGAUUAUCCCACAACUGUGAUCGCAGCCUAAACACCUGAAAGGCAGGCAGGUUUCUAUGCUGAAGACACCAUUCAGGUUUCAUGAUUCCAUGAGAGAAGAAGAGCUGGAGGAGAUUAAUUCCACAAUGCUAAUCACAGGAGUUUUGUAUGGAGCUUUGAUUUCAUUCAGGGGUUUGAGCGCUGACUCCCACCUCCUUCUCCUCCCCUUUUCUCCUUCUUUCUCUCUUCCCAUCUCCUUCUUUCUGCUCUUGUCGCUGUCAGCGGUACUUGAACCCUCUGAGACCUGUUCUUGAUCUUGAGAAAAGGGCUUUCUUGUAAAUGUCCAAGUCUGUGCCUUUGUGAAAGCUGUAAUUCUGCAUAAUGAGCAGCGCUCAUGGAAACAAGUUGAAAGCGAACCAUGGAAACAAUGAUAUUCAUCACAUAAAUCGCUCUGGUGGUUCCCAACAUGUGCUUUGAUUUUGCUAUGCCAUCAAACAAAUAAGAUGUAAUGUUAUUCAUAAAAACGGCUGAAGGAAGAAAGGAGAUACAUAAUAAUUCAAUAAUUAACUCCCACUUUGCAGUUAGCCAAAGGGCUUCACAUCUAAAACGGCCUGUAAAUGAAACAUGAUCAGUUGUUGCUGUUAAGAUGUACUUACACUGCAUGUUUCUCUAGUUAUGCGUGUAAUUGCUCAUUAAAAUAUCGAUAGCCAAGUGGGUCUAUAGAUUCAUCAAUAUGUUUGUGAGACCAGUACUCAUAUCAUACGUGUUCCUGCCUGUUUUAAAAGAUUUAAGAUGGGCAAGAUCCCUGAUUUAAAAUAAUGGAAUAUAGCUCUCUUCUGUUGCUUUUACUGGCACCUAAGUUACAAAAAAGCCUACUGUGCAAUCUACCAAUCACUACAGAUAGGACAAGAUUCCCCAGAUACACUGACAACACUGCGAGGCUGUACAAAGUCAGAUGGGUGCCUUAAGCUAAAUGCUAAUGUCAGCAUGCUUACAUGCUCACAAUGAAAAUGCUACAUUUAAUGACAUUUGAUAGUUAGCUUAUAUAGCUUAUUGUGCAUGAACAGAUGAAGUUGAUUCAAAUUGAAUUUGUUAUCUAAGCAUCUUAGACAUAUUCUAAAGUCCAUAGCCACUAGAAUACAAAUCAGGGGCUCUCUAAAAUGUAAGGAGUGACAGUUUAAAGGAAAAAUAGAGCAUUUGACCCUGAUCCAAUGGCUCUACUGUGCUGUGGGGGGCAUUUUUACUGGCAUGGUUUGGGUCCACUUGUUCUUUUACAGGGAAGGGUCACUGCAAAUCAAUACAAAGUUGAUCUGAGUAAUCACCUUUAUCUUAAUUAAUCAUUUCAAUCAUAACAGGGGUACUUUCUUUCAGAAUAAUAACACAGGGCAGGAGGGUUCACUGAUUGGUUUAAUGAGUUUGAAAAUGAUGUGAAUCAAAUAGUUUGCAGUCACCAGAUUUGAACACCUGUUUGAGAUUUUGAACUGACAUGUUGAACAGCUCUCUCCAUCACCAUCAUAAAAUACGAGGUGUGAAAAUAUCUUUUUAAAGAAUGUUUUCCAUUCCGCAGGUAAAAUUUCAGCGGCCUGCAGAAUCAAUGCCAAAGUGCAUUGUAACUGUUCUAGUAGCACAUAACGGCAAAACAUCUUACAAAGACACUAUAUAAUGGUUUUGCCUUUUAUUUGUCUCCCAUCCUUAUGUGCAGAAAAGUCAUGCCAAUGCACUCAAAUUACAAAAGCCAACCUCAUGGCAGUUCUCAAACUCAAGUCAUUAGGACGAACCAUCUGACAACCAUAACUAUCUGUAUAAAGUUUCAUGACCAUCCGAUAGUUGCCGAGGCCUUAAAAAGGCCUUAAAAAGUAAAAAUGUAAACCUAAUGUCUGUAUAAAAUUUUUUGCAAAUCCAUCGAGUACAUGUUAAAAACUUCACUGGAUUAGUAAAAUGUUUUUGAUCAGCUUCUGGUGCUGACGAAAUCAGAGGAUAACUACAAUCAUUAGAAUUCUUCAGGAACAUCUGUAUCAAAUUUUAAAUGAUAGACCAAUCCAGCAGUUGUGGAUGUUUAAAUGACAAAUAUCCACAUGCACAAUCAAGGUCGUAGGUUUGCAUAGGGACGGUAGGGACAUAACACUACCAACUUUUCAAGAGGGUCAAAUUGUCCCCACCAACUUUUAAGCAACCUUAUUUGCAUUAUAUAAUGAGUUCAGUUAUAUAGGUAAUUUUGAUUGUCUUCCCAUAUGUUGUAAGGAUAGAAUUGACCCUACCAUUAUUAAGUGAAUUAUUUUCAUUAUGUUCAGACUUACAUUUACCCCUUUUCACUUGCUGAAUGUGCCGGUCCAAUCAAACGUGUGUUUGAUUGGCUGAUGACUUGACCCCCCCGCACACUCACACAGCCCCGACAGAAGUACACAAGAAAUAAACAUGCCGCCUUCUCCGCCCCCUUCGAAGAGGAGGGAUAUUAGAAUUUUUUUUUCGGCCAGCAUCAGCAGCAGACGACACUGUAAGUAAUGUAAAAAGACGUUAAUGUUGUGGACGUGGGGAACACACCACUAAUGUUGCUACUGAAAGUCCGACCUGCAUCGGAGUUAGCAUAACAUUAAACUGUGUGAACUUGCUAACCUGCAAAACUCGAGUAGGAAGCUGCUUAGAGAGAAUUGUCCUCCUGUAUGUGUUUUCUACUGUUAACGUUAAUUAAACUGUGAGAAAUGUAGUGUACUCUGCUGGAAAAUAUAGAACCAGAAAAACGUGAGCAAGAAGCUGCUUAGAGAGAGAGGUCCCAGUCUGUGUUUCACAGGAAAGUGUUGACAGUCAAAAAAAAAAAAAAAAAGCACAUGCUGCUGCUUUUCUUCUUGUAAACGGCCUGGUUUAGAAGGAAAGAAGGCUAGAGCAUGUAUUUAUUGUGUAUGCUAAUAUAAAUUAAGUUAUGUUCAAAUAUUGCAAUUUAAAUUUGCUAAUAAAAUCGAGACAUUUAUUCUGGAAGUUUUCAAAAUGUUUCUUUAGUAGUUUUUGAAAACAAAGAUUUGAAUUGAAUGGCGUAUCACCUGAACCAAUACACAUGAAAGUUAGUAUAAGUCAAUACAGAUUUAUUUUGCAUUGAUCAUUUAGCUUAUCAAUUAAUUAGGUUCAUAUUCGUGAGAAAUGUAGCCCUGACCCCCGUUCACCCAAUCUGUUUGGUCUUAUUAAUGUCCCGUCCCCAGCAAAAAGUGUACAUGCAGGUUAUGCUGUUAAAUCGUCCCUACCAAUGUUGAGACCGAACCUACGCCCUUCACUGCAAAAAGUCAUUCAGUGCCUUUGUAAAUAUUACAAUAAAUAUAAACUAUAAUAGCUUAAUAAAAUCUUUAAAUGUCCCUUUCGUGAAUUUUUGAGUUGGAUAUGCCAACAUAAAUGUCUAAAAAUCAAACAGUGACUAUUGUUUAAAUUCACAAUGAAUAUUUAAGUCAUUUUCACAGAAAGAAAAUUGUAUGUGAUUUGCCAACUAUAUUUUCUGGAUAUACUCAAUAUUUUCAGUGAACUUCAGUUAAAAUGUUUGUGAAUUCAGUAAUCAUUCUAUUCAGUGUAAAAAAAAAUACAGUAAUUAGCCACUCCCAAUCAUAAUACUUUAUCUUUAACAAAAACUUAAAAAAAAGAGUUAUUUUGUUUUUUUCUGGUUGUAACAUUUUUGAAACAUGUAAAAAAUGAACACACCUAAUACCGUCUAAAUAUGCAAAAUAGAUUAAAAUAAAUAAAUGUAUACCAUGUCUUUAAUUGGAAGUGAUUUUCAAGGUACACAGUACAUGCAGGGAAAGAGGGAAAGGGAAUUACAUGCAGUAGAAGUGUAAAGCCGGGAGUCGAACCGCUGACUGACGGCUCCGGACGUGUCCAGCAUUUUUCAAACCGGUACGUUCAGCUAUACGUGAUCACGUGGACAACGUUCAACGCGCGCAAACACAGGUCCUAAUGGGAAGUGGUAUCGGCACAACUUCUGCACCCAGCCGAGAAACUCCGCGACGAAAAGAACUGCUUGCUAAUCUUGGUAAGUGGCUCGCCAGCAAAAGCUAAUGAAACAGUACAUGUUGCUGUAGCAGUGUUUGUAUUUUGCGCCACAACGUGGCUGCGCGGUUAUCUGGCUAGCGCUAGCCUUUAGCUAACAGCACCUGUGUAACACGCAGUGUUUGCUGUGUCUGCGGUCAAACGUUGGGAAAUAUAGCUGUCUAUAUUUAUGACAGACUUUCUGCAUUAUUCUUGUAAGUCAGUCAUGUUUCUUAAAUGAUGAUUGUAGCACUUGGUCAGCCUUUUUGUCAGAUUUUGGAGUGAAAAUGAUAAUGGCUUCAGUGGCUCGCUAGCAAAAGCUAAUGAAACAGUACAUGUUGCGGUAGCAGUGUAUUUUUGCGCCACAACGUGGCUGCGCGGUUAUCUGGCUAGCGCCACCCUUUAGCUAACAACAACUGUGUAACAUGUGGUCUUUGCUGUGUCCGCGGUCAAAUAUUGGUAAAUAGAGCUGUCUAUAUUUAUGACAGAGUUUCUGCAUUAUUCUUGUAAGUCAGUCAUGUUUCUUAAACGAGGAUUGUAGCACUUGGUCAGUUUGUUUUGUCAGAUUUGGGAGUGCAAAUGAUAAUGGCUAUUGCAUGUAAAGUGGGACUUUUCGGUGAAGUCUGUUCACUUCAGUAUUUUCCUUUGUGUCACAGCACCAGCACUGCUAAAGAAGGGGAGCUGAACCAAGAUUGUGGAGGUGACCACGGAUGGGAUGGCACUGUAAGCUCUGCACAUUUGUAGAUUCAUCAAAAGGAGGACUUCUCAAGCACUAUCGACUGACUCACGAAUGGAAUCCCCAUUCAGCGAACACGAGAGAUCAUCAUCCAGUGUCUCAUUGAUCAUCUGGGAGAAGAUGCAAGUGCCUUGAUCAAGGAGUUUGAGGUGGUCGCUGAUGCUCCUGACGGUUUAGAAAAGGAGUUGGCAGAGGAGGUCAUGAAGAUUUACUUGGUGCGGAACCAGGGACAAUCAGGUGAUGCACCUACUGAUGUAGGGAUUGUAAUUGAGGGCAUCAUUGUCCUCCGCAGUCUUGGGGAUCUCAGCAGAGCCUGCUGCUAUCUGUUGGGACUGACCUAUGCCUUGGAUCUGAGAUACCCUCGGAAUCUCAAAUACAGUUUUGAGGUGUUCCAAAAAGUGCUACUGGAGCUGGAUCCUGGAAACCUUUCAACCAAGGUUCAAAGACUGAAAAAUUACCUGUGUGCUUAGUUGUUGACUACUGUUCAAUGAGAUGCUCUCACUAAUCUGGAUUUUGUCCAUUUUCAAGGUGUUCAUGUCUUAAAGUUUUAGUGAAAUACUGUAUUAAUCCUAAGAUAACAUGUAGGAAAAGUGUGAGGGCAAACAGUGAAAACUUAUAGGUUGUCUUGCUUGUUGUAAGCAUCAAACUUUUUCAAACUGUCAGUAGUUUCCUGAUGGACAGGAGAAACCAGGUGCGAAUUAUUGUUAUUGGUCCCUUGAUUUUGUUUUAUGAUCUUACAUUUCCCACUUUGUUUAAGAACUACUUGAUUUGAGAAAGGGUGAGAAGGACAGGAUAUUAAUUUACUCAGUACUUGACAAAAAGAUGUUUUUUUUCACUCCAAGUGAUCUGUUCUAAAACUUGCAUCAGAAUGUAGAAAUGUGCUCUUUGGUGUUUUAACAUGAUGGUAUAGGCCUGCCCAGUUAGCGCCACGGGGAAAUAACUGGUAGUUAGCAAUAGAGGUAGUUAUUGUUGAUGUUAAGUGUCACUUAAUGUAUUUCAGCCAUGUGCAGAGCUCAGUUCAGCCUGUUGCUCUUGAACCAAAAGCAUUUUUUUACCUGCACUUUGGCAACAGUGAGUGUUUUACCCAUGUUUUAGAUGCCGCUGGCUAGUAUGAGUUUUCAGUGCACUGUUUUCAUACUGUGGAUAUUGUUACAUAUGUGAUUUGGAAAGCAAACCAGGGUGACUACAGAUGCUAUUUCAUGUGUUACAGUAGUCAUUUCUGAACAAAUAAAGAUUUACAGUGGUUUUACUGUUAA